rnacentral:lncRNA from 1 species
CUUUUACAACCGGUAUAAAAAUUUCACCCACUCGUAUUCCAGUCGAAAUUACGAAGUGAUUAAAGAAGAAGUGCUCUUCAAGAAUAAACAUGGAUCAACCUAGCUGACUGUGUUUACGACUGAGCAUGUCUGGGCCUUUCCCUUGUACAGGCACAAAUCAGACAUUGAACUGACUGAUCGAAGUGAAAGGUGUCCAAAGCAAGAUUUUGCUUCUACCUUUUCCCUUUCCCUGCCCGUCCUUCCACCUAGAAACAGAAACUGCAGCCAUUACUGGCAGGGUGGACUGCAGAAUGAGAUUUUGUUCUGUUAAGUGAAUUGUCUGUGAGAAUUUACAGAAGAAUUUACAGUUGAAUUAAAAAAAAAAAAAAAAAAGGAAAUACUUGUGCCACAGUAGUGCUAUAUACCGUAUGAAUGUGUGACUAUCAUGUGCUGUUGACAGCACAAACACUGUCUUCAACUGCCUACUCGUAUAAAGGAGUCUAAUACUGUUACUGCUG